AUGCAGUGCACUUGGAUAUUGAUGGUGGAAAAAUAAGAGGGAGAAAACCCAGUACAACUGCUGUACCAGAGUUUUCCUCUGAAUCUAGCUCUCGCAGUCUUCACAAGGGACCUACCACAUGGAACCUACAAAUCCUUAAAGCACCACGGCAGAUAUAAGGUACAGCAGAUGUGCCAAAGUUUUGGUCGUAAGAAAAUCAAACACAGCAACAAAGAAACAUCCAUGCGCUCACCAUGGCUAAAGAGCCGCCCACGAUGGAUGGCAUCGUGUUGAUUUAGUUGAAACUUGGAAGUGUCCUAGUUUUCUGCUAUGAAUUGAAGAGAAACUACUAAAAAUUCGAUCGAUUAUAGAAGAUGAUGGCUCAAUAUCAACCUAGCAUCACGCUUCCACGUAAAUCUCAGUUUGAAGGAUGCUUAGUAUAUUGCAGAGAUGUUUUUCACCUUCACCGAAGACCUGAUUGUCCCACUGCAACACAGGGAGAACAAGUUCUCCACUGCCAAUAAGCUUCAUGAUCUCAUCAGCCUUCCUUCCUUCCUUCCUUCCUCCACAGUCACUUUUUUACCUUUAUUCCAUGGAGUUUACCCUCCCUUAGCAGCUCCUCUGAUAGCGUCAAAACUCACAUAGCAGUGCACCCGCUCAAAAUUCUGUCAAAGGCAGCCAUCAGAAGGUCUUUUUCCUAGGCAGCAAAUGCCACAUUCAUGUAAGGUCGUCCUUCAGCGAUGAAUCCAUCAUUAUCCAGCCAAAUGGAUGCAUAUGCACCAUUCUCCUCUGCUUCCAUCUUUGAAGGCACGUUAGGAAGAGAAGUUGAAUGAGAAUCCAUGGGUGAAGAAAACCAAUGAGAGCAGAGCUUUCCGUCAAAUAGUGGCUGAUCGUAUAAUCGGUUUUCCUUUUCCUACCAAUCUAAUUCAUUUUUUUUUUAAUCAAUGAUGAAGAUUUGAAUUGCUCUAAACCAUGCUGUUGCUGACUUCAUGUGUCUGGAUUCCAAGAAAAAUUAAGGCAAGUCGUUUGUUUAUAAAUUUUGCCAGCGAGAAAUUAUUUUUAAAAAAAGAGAAAUUACAAUUAUACCCUCGUAUUCUUGUAUAGGUUUUUAUUUGAUCUUUCUCCAAUGUCAUCCUCAACCUUUUAAAAUUGUACACAAUCUUCCCUCAAUGUUAAGUCUCUCAAUUUCAAAUUUAAAUAUUCCCAUGUUCUUUUAUGAUA